GAAAAAUUUUAUCUAACAAGAGAAGAGGAAAAUGCUAUUUUCCAAACAACAUUCAAGGAAACAACAGGAUGUAAGGCAAACAGACUUCAUGGUCAUGGGUACCUAUCAAGAUAUCCAACAAGAAGUCAAGUGAUGGAAUCAAAGUUCCUCGAACAAGCUCGUGCCACGGUUGCAACCAACCAAAAAAACAUUGAACUCGAAAGUCAGGUCCAGUUGUUAAAUGAAAAACUUGCGUGUGAGGUUGCAGAACGAGAAAGAAUACUCCAGGAAAAAAUGCAAGCACUGCAAGAAGAAGAAGAAAAAAAAAGACAAGUGCUUAGAGAAGAAAUGAGGCAAGAAAUGGUUGCUGCCCUUGCUGUUGUAGCACAACAGAGCAACCGUGAAAGCACCACUCCAAUCGAUCCUUCUUCCGUUGUCCCUACUAAACCUCCUGAAUUCAUCCCAGCUGAUUCUCCUGCACCUGCACCAAGUAGUGCAAACAACGUUCGUACACCAGACACAAACAAUAAGAAAGACAAUAUGCCAGCAAACUAUAUUAGCUCUUACACUCUAAGGAAUGCUGUGACAAGACGUGUGCAGGCAAGGGGCAACAAAAGAAGCGAAUGUGUACAAUCCGCAAGUGCAAGCGAGAAGCAAGGUAGAUCAACUUAAGAAGCUCUAUCAAAGUGUGUUUAAGGUUCCUUGUCGUCGUGAUAUCGUCGUCAGCCUAGCUAACCAUCGCUUGCAUCAAUGGAGGGGAUGGAGGGGUACACGAUGACAAAAAAAACUUCCAAUAAUUUGCUAGUCCUGAGUAGUUUAUUAUCUAUGUUAUCACAACCAAGCUAGUAUGAGGAUGUUAUGACUGUGAGCUAUGUUAUCAAAUUAAUUUGUAUUUGGCCACUAUUUAUUUGGUGCAACCUAUUUGUUACAACUUAUGGUAUGGAUGUAGUUAAUAUAUGAGAUAAGAGACAAAUAUUAUGGUUGUCAAUUUUGGUUCUUACGUUACUGAUG